rnacentral:rRNA from 1 species
CUCCUCUGAUUUAGCGGCGGACGGCGUGAGUAACACGUGGGUAAUCUGCCUGUAAGACGGGGAUAACUCCGGGAAACCGGGGCUAAUACCGGAUAACAAGAGAAGAAGCAUUUCUUCUUUUUGAAAGUCGGUUUCGGCUGACACUUACAGAUGAGCCCGCGGCGCAUUAGCUAGUUGGUGAGGUAACGGCUCACCAAGGCGACGAUGCGUAGCCGACCUGAGAGGGUGAUCGGCCACACUGGGACUGAGACACGGCCCAGACUCCUACGGGAGGCAGCAGUAGGGAAUCUUCGGCAAUGGGCGAAAGCCUGACCGAGCAACGCCGCGUGAGCGAUGAAGGCCUUCGGGUCGUAAAGCUCUGUUGUUAGAGAAGAACAAGUACGAGAGUAACUGCUCGUACCUUGACGGUACCUAACCAGAAAGCCACGGCUAACUACGUGCCAGCAGCCGCGGUAAUACGUAGGUGGCAAGCGUUAUCCGGAAUUAUUGGGCGUAAAGCGCGCGCAGGCGGUCUCUUAAGUCUGAUGUGAAAGCCCACGGCUCAACCGUGGAGGGUCAUUGGAAACUGGGAGACUUGAGUGCAGGAGAGAAAAGUGGAAUUCCACGUGUAGCGGUGAAAUGCGUAGAGAUGUGGAGGAACACCAGUGGCGAAGGCGGCUUUUUGGCCUGUAACUGACGCUGAGGCGCGAAAGCGUGGGG